rnacentral:rRNA from 1 species
UACGUAGGGCGCAAGCGUUGUCCGGAAUUAUUGGGCGUAAAGAGCUCGUAGGCGGCUUGUCACGUCGGAUGUGAAAGCCCGGGGCUUAACUCCGGGUCUGCAUUCGAUACGGGCUGGCUAGAGUGUGGUAGGGGAGAUCGGAAUUCCUGGUGUAGCGGUGAAAUGCGCAGAUAUCAGGAGGAACACCGGUGGCGAAGGCGGGUCUCUGGGCAGUAACUGACGCUGAGGAGCGAAAGCGUGGGGAGCGAACAGG